AAGAUUUAGACACAUGUUCAGAUUUAUUUGGAAAUUCACAGUUUCUAAAUUGCACUAAGGCUCUGGAGAUACAGUUGUAUUAACCACAUAGUUCUAAGCAAUAAAAUAAAAAUCCUCCUUUGAAUUUUCUUGCAGAUGAGUCCAAUGUUUUAGCACAGGGUGCAUGUUUGCAUCACACGAUACUAAGAAAAUGCUUAGUCUUAAAAAGAAUCCAGAUGGUGAAGUGUUAAUGAAUGAAGCGGAGAGCAGCAAAACCAUAAACAAAAUGGGUAAAGGGUAAACAUGUUCAUUACCAAAAGCAUGGCAUUUAGACACAAAUACAAAAGUAGAAUGCCAGGUGUCAACAUACUGGGGCACCAAUAAAGUGCAGAAACCAUGUUUAUCUCAACAUCACAAAGGGCCUGAAAUCAGAUCAACAACAAUAGUAUAUACAAAGAUAUGCUUUUUCUUUCAGCUACACUGGGAGUUUAUUUUCUAAUAUUGUUGGUAAUUUACAAAACAAAAAAUAUCAUUAGGAUGUACCACCACCAAACGCAGGUCUGUACAAUUUCAAAACAGUGUAAAUGUAUGAGGAUUACCUUGGUUGAUACUAAUAAACUACAAAAUGAAUGGCUACUGCAGAUGACAACCUUCUCAGGAAUUUAUUUACUAAAUUAUAGUAAUUGUGUUAACUUGACAUCCAACAUGUGACAUUUAGGGUAAAACAAAUCACUUGAAUGCGAGGGGUGUUUGCAAGUCUGUUCUAACUGCACCAUGACAAACGGUUUAAUGAACAGGCAUCCAAGGUCUCUUAUUGGCCUGUACUUUGUCAUUUAUUCAAGUAAUCGUUUGAGAUAUAUUGACACGGAGGGCAUAUUUUAGCAUGUCCCUGCUGGGCCAGGAUUGGGCUAUAAAUUUCUUGUGUUACCAUUCCCCCCCAAAAAUAAAAUAUGGAAUGAGGCAGGGCUGUACUGCCUGAGAAAUAUCCAACAAACAAAGAAAGUGUACCUAAAAAUUGGGAGAAAAACAAUAGCCUAAACUUCUUGAAGAUAAAAGGGCUGGUAUAAAAGAGGACGAAGAGGUCCAAAAACAAUAACAAUUUUAUUGGAUAUCGAUACUAAAAGGUUGAAACAAUGAAAACAAAAGAAAAAUAAAUAUAAAAUAGUUGAUAUAAAUUCUGAUGUCCUGAAAAAUAUAUGUACAAUUAACUGCUGCGCACGUCUGAGCUGUUGGAGAGAGAUUGUAUAGGUGCUGCUUGUAUAUAAACACGAGGAAAAAUAGUAUGUACUGCGGUUUAGAUAUAGAAAAAUAUAUCAAUAGGUUCUGUAUAAUUAAAAAGCAAGGUACUACUUAAGUUCCAAUAGUCCAGAACCCUAAUGCUUAGACAUAUAAUCA